GGGAGUGAAGAGGAUUCCUGCCAUCGGCCUCUGGGUUUGCCCUUGGUCCCAACCCCUCACCCGGGCUGAAUGACGUGGAGGUGACUCCCUGGCUCCCUAGGCCCUGGGAGGCCCCGAGCUGCAGACGGCCCAGCUGCACCGGUGUGGGAGGAAGCCUGGGCCUGACCUGCACCCCCAGGCUCCUCCCCAGAUGGGCCACCUGGCUCCAGGCUCCUCAGGCGGCUGGGAGCAGGAGGGGCUCUUGUCAGCAGCCCCGAAGGGCCUGUGCCGGGGUGGGCAGGGUCAGGCAGGCCUGCCCACUCAGCCCAGCAGAGCAGAGACAGCCUCCAAGGGGCCCUCCCUCGCUGCCAGCCCACGCAGUGACGGUGAUUUACGCGCAGUCCUGGCUCGCAGCCGGGCUCCGUGAGCCCUUUGUGACUCCCUGGUGGCUGGCUCAGAAUGACCAAACCAGAGCAGGCUUUUUAUGGUCAUUUCUCCACCACACAUAACAUAAACCACUCGGCAGCCUGAUGAGCAUCAGGAGCGUGAUCACGCGUGGCCUGGAGGAAGAGGAGAGGGAGAGAAGAACCGUGGAAUGAAGAGAUGCGUGUGCUGGGGAGCCAUGGAGAAAAGAGCUGGGCUGGAGGAGGGUGCAGAAGAAAUGGCAGCCCAGCAGGAGCAGGGGAAGAGCAGCAGCACCGGCAGGAUGAAUGUGCAUGGGUCGGACAGCAGGUCUGCCUGCGCAAGUCGGCUCCAGCGCCUGUCCGCCAGCAGCGUCCAGGGCUCCCUCCUCUGCAUCGCGCGGUAUUGGCCGCCACUAUCUGCUGUGGUUUCUGUUGCUUCCGCUGGAUGACAGCCAUUCUAACUGGGAUGAGAUGAUCUCACUGUGAUUUUGAUUUGCAUUUUCCUGAUAAUUAGUGAUGCUGAAGAUUUCUUCAUGCACUUGGUGGCCCUGUGUACGUCUGCUGUUGAGAAAUGCUUGCUCAGAUCACUUGCUCAUUUUUAUAAUCAGAAUAUUCGUUUUGUUCCACCUCGAUAGCCAUGGAAACCAAAACACAAACCCCUACAUUUUGUCCAAUGAGGUUAAAAUAUUUCUUCUACUUUCCCAUCAUAAAAGCUGCACUUAAAAGGGAAAUGUGGAGCUUCGCUUAGCAACUGCAAACGUGCGCGAAGGCAGGCGCCCGCUCGGUCCUCCCAGCACCUGCUGUAGGAGGAAUCCAGCAGCCUCUGCACCACCAUUUCCGGGUCCUCCCAGGGAAUGGCUCUGUCACCCUCCAGCUCUGCCUGCCUCGUAGCAAUAACACAACACGUGUGUGUCCGAGGCAGCCUUUUUGACACUAAAGAGGUCUACGUAUUCUACAUGUUCUCUGGGCAGUUGGCUUUUGUUUCUCCACUGAGUUCUUCGCACUUUCUUAUUGGUUAAUAGAAGCUCUUUCUAUUGUCUGAACAGUGGCUCUCAAAUAUAUUGCAGAUAUUUUUUUCCAAUUUGUCAUCUACCUUGUAACUAUCUGGCUGGGGUUCCUGCUACGUAGAGAAUCCUACCUUCCCUCCUGGACCGCUCCCUCUUACAUCCUACCGAGAGAGGCAUCUCUGAUAUCAAGUAUAGUUCUCCUUAUGGUUUUGGACUCUAUGACUUGUGUAUAUAUCUAUUUUUAUUUUCGGGUGGAGACUAAGAAAGGAAUCCAACUUUACACCCAGUUGUCUCCAAAUCCCUUGUUGAUAAGUCCACCCUUUCCCUAGUGGAAGGUGCUCCGUUCCGGCCCAAUGUUCUGUCGCUGCCUUGGUCACAGAUCAGAGUCUGCAGCUGUCAGGGGCGCUGCCGUGACUGAGACUCCACUGCCGGCAGAGCUGAGCGAGCACCCGCCUUCUCUUGGAGUUAGAUCAGCCCGGGGUCCCAGAGUGUCUCACAGCCAGAUCUGGAGCCCCGGGCUCCAGAUGUCCUGAUGUCCCAGGACGGUUCUCUUUCCACAAGCCACUCUACUUCCCCCAGAGCCCACGGUGCCACACAGGCAGGUGUGAUGGGGUUGACUCUGGCAAUCUGACAUCAGCAGCCAGUGUGCAGGGGGGCCUUGACCGUCCUGAGGAUCGUCACUAGUGUCA